AGGUUGCAGGUCAGGGCUGGCAUUCCGGGCUCAGAGACUCCACAUAGCAGCAGCUCUUCCGUCAGAGGAGGGCAUGGCAGGGGCUGAGGCAGGACUGCCCAACCUUUGAAAAAGGGCCACAGCGACAGGCAUGAAGAGCAGCCGGAUGCCAGAUGCUGCCACGUGGAAGCACAGAAGAAAAAGAACUGGCAGGUCAGGAAACUCCAGUGAGAUCUUCCCGGAUUCUUACUCUUGCUUCCAGCUUCUGACCCAAGAGAAGCACCCGGUUCACGAAUGAUUCCCACCAGUGCCAGCAUCGUGCGCUUCCAACUUUCCCAAUUUCAGAUUAUGAACACCUUGGGAACAGGGAUCGUGUGAAUUCAACCUCCAUGCCUCGCAUCAUUCCAAGCACAGUCCCUGGCACAUCAUUGAUAUUUGGUCAAUGAGCAGAUGGAUUGUGCAAUAAACAAACACACCAGAGUGGAAAUCUGUGGUCGCUGUGGUUUUCAAAGUUGGGCAAUGGGCUUGGAGUAAUGCUGCAGGACAGCUUCUUAUGCCGAUGGCAGUGCGAGGAAAUUUCAGCAAAUCCCAUCUGAAGACGUAUUCUCUGCUGGCCAUUCCUGUUCUGCCGCAACACUGCUAUCCCCAGGUUUCCCAUGUUUUCCCUGAUUUGACAGCCUAAGGGCUACUCUACUCGACAGAACACCUUCCCCAGGACCCCUUCCCCAAGACCCUUUCCCCAGGCUUCCACGGCCACCCAGUUGGGUUCAGCCAACGAUCAACACCACAGGAGGACUGGGGAUGGGAGAAGCGAGGUCUUGCUAUUUUUUCAUCAUCUCCUGCUGGUUGGGCGGAUGCCCCCAUGACUCCAGCUCCCACCAGGUGGGCCUCCCCAAGGCUCCAGCUGCACAGGCCUUGCUUUUGCCUUCGGAUCUGAAGAGUGGAGCCCUGCUCCUGCGAGUCUCCGUGCUUCAACAUCUCCCGUUGGCUUCCUUGACUCUGCCAUGUUCUGGUUAUUAAAG
rnacentral:lncRNA from 10 species